GUCCAGGGAUGGGAAGCGAACCCACACUGUUCCGCUUACCUGGCAGAUGCCAUGUUCACUAGGCUACCCUGGA
rnacentral:tRNA from 1 species